UACGAACCGGACGAACGGUAUUCGGAAUCAUUGGGCUUAAAGAGUGCGUAGGCGGCCUUGUAGGUGAGGUGUGAAAUCCCACGGCUCAACCGUGGAACUGCGCUUCAAACCACAAGGCUUGAGUGAGGCAGAGGUAAGCGGAACUGAUGGUGGAGCGGUGAAAUGCGUUGAUAUCAUCAGGAACACCGGUGGCGAAGGCGGCUUACUGGGCCUUGUCUGACGCUGAGGCACGAAAGCUAGGGGAGCAAACGGG
rnacentral:rRNA from 1 species